CCCAAUAUCUCUGUGUGUUAUACACCAUCGUCAGAAUCCUAUAGUAACUACUAGUCAAUUUAUAGUUUUAUAUGGAACAUGAAUGUUAAUCUGCCAUCAAUAUACAACACCUCAUAGUGUUACAUUUAAUAAUUAGACAGUAUUUGGAGGUGUAGUGGUGCAUUUGGUUUUCAGUUUCUUAUGAUGCAAGCAGAGGAGAGACUUAUUCCAACUAGACUGUCACAUGACAUGCUGGGACAAGUAGCUGCAUGUAGCAGACUUCAGUAGUAUGGGCAUAGGUAAAGGCUGUACUGUUACGAGUAUCAAUUUAAUUGUGCAGUUAUUAGAUGUGCAAGAGUGAAAAAAUAGCUUACAGAAAAUCUUAAGUAACAGUGGAAAAGAAUACAUUUCAAGAAAAGAGACUGGUCCCAGUAAAUAGUUUAAAAAUACAGAACAGUGCUGUCGAACUACAUAUUGCCAAUACAGUAUGUUUUUACAAGAAAAUGAAGAAACCAUAUCUACUGUCCAUUCAUUGAGGUUACCAAUAUCGAACGGACCCUUCAUCUGUGGAUGGAAAUCCAGUUUCCAAAAUGUUGUGCCCAUCUUAUAAUAUUAAAUGAUGGGCAAACUCCAUAAACUUGGUAAUCCUGAAUGAUCUUCACUGUACUCACAUGCUUAUGUAUGAAACUUGAACUCUUCUUCAGUCCACAGCUCAGCACUGUGUGAUAAUAUGCAUUCAUCUCUACAUAUACUAGAUACUGACACCAUACCAAAUGGGAGAUCCUCAGGCCAACCAUUACAUGUUUACACUGCCAUAUAGAAAAAUUCUCAAAUGCUCUUCAAAUACUGCCAGACAAGUAUGUUUAAAAACAUUUUUAGUAUAGGAGUCAGGACAAAAUUUAUCUUUCCUUAUACUAAGAACCUGACAUUUAAUUAAGUCUGUACUUUGAAAAAGUGUGAUAAUCUGAAGAUGGAGGUGGUGAGUGAUAAUUGAGUUCAAUUUGUUUGUACAGAAUACUACAACUGCAUAGUGACAAUCUGUAGCAUAACAUGUACUGACCUAGUAACAGAAGUUUCAAGGAAUUAUGAAAUUAUGCAUGAAGCUUAGGAUCAAACAUGUAAGGAAAAAUCAAGAGGUAUCCAGACUGCAGAAAGGAGAAUUUAUGAGGAUCCCACCAUCCACAUGACUGCGAGGGAUCUCAAGGUUAUCCAUUCUCAUAUAAUUAAUGAACCAGUGGUGCAAGGGAUGGUACAGUGUUAAAUAUUUGGCUUCUGCAAGAUGCACAGUCUCAUCUCUGCCAGUUACUGACAUGUAGCCAUGAUGACAUCGCCGGACGAACAAAAUACUGCCAAUUACUGGUUUCUUUCUGCUGUAUUUAUAUUAAAAAAAAGAUAUCAAACUCAGAACUUUGCAACAAUCAACCUCUGUUAUGCUUCACUAGGGUCCAGGGUCACCAACUAUCAGAACUUCAAUCUAGGCCCAUAUAUCUAAAAAUACAAGACAUUUCCACAAGCAUAAUGAUUAGCAAUUCUAAUUACCACUGCUCUGCAAAGCAAAUUAAAACAAUGAAUGUGGAAGCGUAACAAGCAAAAACUGAUGCAAUCUGUAACAUAAAUGUAUUGCAUUUGAACAGUAUAAGCUUUAAAUAAGA